GACGAACGCUGGCGGCGUGCUUAACACAUGCAAGUCGAACGAUGAAGCUGGAGCUUGCUCCGGUGGAUUAGUGGCGAACGGGUGAGUAACACGUGAGCAAUCUGCCCUUGACUCUGGGAUAACUGCGGGAAACUGUAGCUAAUACCGGAUACUUUCACUGGAAGGCAUCUUCUGGUGAAGAAAGAAUUUCGGUCAAGGAUGAGCUCGCGGCCUAUCAGCUUGUUGGUGAGGUAACGGCUCACCAAGGCGACGACGGGUAGCCGGCCUGAGAGGGUGACCGGCCACACUGGGACUGAGACACGGCCCAGACUCCUACGGGAGGCAGCAGUGGGGAAUAUUGCACAAUGGGCGCGAGCCUGAUGCAGCAACGCCGCGUGAGGGAUGAAGGCCUUCUGGUUGUAAACCUCUUUUAGCAGGGAAGAAGCGAAAGUGACGGUACCUGCAGAAAAAGCACCGGCUAACUACGUGCCAGCCGCCGCAGUAA
rnacentral:rRNA from 1 species